GAUGAACGCUGGCGGCGUGCCUAAUACAUGCAAGUCGAGCGGACGGACGAGGAGCUUGCUUUUCUGAUGUUAGCGGCGGACGGGUGAGUAACACGUGGAUAACCUACCUAUAAGACUGGGAUAACUUCGGGAAACCGGAGCUAAUACCGGAUAAUAUUUUGAACCGCAUGGUUCAAAAGUGAAAGACGGUCUUGCUGUCACUUAUAGAUGGAUCCGCGCUGGAUUAGCUAGUUGGUAAGGUAACGGCUUACCAAGGCAACGAUGCAUAGCCGACCUGAUAGGGGGAUCGGCCACACUGGAACUGAGACACGGUCCAGACUCCUACGGGAGGCAGCAGUAGGGAAUCUUCCGCAAUGGGCGAAAGCCUGACGGAGCAACGCCGCGUGAGUGAUGAAGGUCUUCGGAUCGUAAAACUCUGUUAUUAGGGAAGAACAUAUGUGUAAUGAACUGUGCACAUCUUGACGGUACCUAAUCAAAAAGCCACGGCUAACUACGUG
rnacentral:rRNA from 1 species